rnacentral:rRNA from 1 species
AUUGAACGCUGGCGGCAGGCCUAACACAUGCAAGUCGAGCGGAUGAAGGGAGCUUGCUCCUGGAUUCAGCGGCGGACGGGUGAGUAAUGCCUAGGAAUCUGCUUGGUAGUGGGGGAGAACGUCCGGAAACGGGCGCUAAUACCGCAUACGUCCUGAGGGAGAAAGUGGGGGAUCUUCGGACCUCACGCUAUCAGAUGAGCCUAGGUCGGAUUAGCUAGUUGGUGGGGUAAAGGCCUACCAAGGCGACGAUCCGUAACUGGUCUGAGAGGAUGAUCAGUCACACUGGAACUGAGACACGGUCCAGACUCCUACGGGAGGCAGCAGUGGGGAAUAUUGGACAAUGGGCGAAAGCCUGAUCCAGCCAUGCCGCGUGUGUGAAGAAGGUCUUCGGAUUGUAAAGCACUUUAAGUUGGGAGGAAGGGCAGUAAGUUAAUACCUUGCUGUUUUGACGUUACCAACAGAAUAAGCAACGGCUAACUUCGUG